rnacentral:rRNA from 1 species
GGGGUGCUCGAGUGGCGAACGGGUGAGUAACACGUGAGUAACCUGCCCUUGACUUUGGGAUAACUUCAGGAAACUGGGGCUAAUACCGGAUAGGAGCUCCUGCUGCACGGUGGGGGUUGGAAAGUUUCGGCGGUUGGGGAUGGACUCGCGGCUUAUCAGCUUGUUGGUGGGGUAGUGGCUUACCAAGGCUUUGACGGGUAGCCGGCCUGAGAGGGUGACCGGCCACAUUGGGACUGAGAUACGGCCCAG